UACGUAGGGUGCAAGCGUUGUCCGGAAUUAUUGGGCGUAAAGAGCAUGUAGGAGGUUUUGCGCGUCUUCCGUUAAAGCCCACGGCCUAACCGUGGAACUGCGUGAGAUACGGCAGAACUAGAGGGGGUUAGAGGUGCAUGGAGCGCACGGUGUAGGGGUGAAAUCCGUUGAUAUCGUGCGAAACACCAAAGGCGAAGGCAGUGCACUGGGACCUUCCUGACUCUGAUAUGCGAAAGCGUGGGGAGCAAAAAGG
rnacentral:rRNA from 1 species